GGGGAAUUUUGCGCAAUGGGGGCAACCCUGACGCAGCAACGCCGCGUGCGGGACGGAGGCCUUCGGGUCGUAAACCGCUUUCAGCAGGGAAGAACUUUGACUGUACCUGCAGAAGAAGCUCCGGCUAACUACGUGCCAGCAGCCGCGGUAAUACGUAGGGAGCGAGCGUUAUCCGGAUUCAUUGGGCGUAAAGCGCGCGUAGGCGGCUCGCCAAGCGGGGUCUCAAACCCGGGGGCUCAACCUCCGGCCCGACCCCGAACCGGCGGGCUCGAGUUCGGUAGAGGAAGACGGAAUUCCCGGUGUAGCGGUGAAAUGCGCAGAUAUCGGGAAGAACACCGAUGGCGAAGGCAGUCUUCUGGGCCGCAACUGACGCUGAGGUGCGAAAGCUAGGGGAGCGAAC
rnacentral:rRNA from 1 species